GGCGAACGGGUGAGUAACACGUGAGUAACCUGCCCCUCACUUCUGGAUAACCGCUUGAAAGGGUGGCUAAUACGGGGUGUUCUGGCCUGCUCACAUGGGUGGGUUUGGAAAGAUUCGACCGGUUUUGGUUGUUUUGGUGGGGGAUGGGCUCGCGGCCUAUCAGCUUGUUGGUGGGGUGAUGGCCUGCCAAGGCUUUGACGGGUAGCCGGUCUGAGAGGGUGGUCAGUCACACUGGGACUGAGACACGGCCCAGACUCCUACGGGAGGCAGCAGUGGGGAAUUUUCCGCAAUGGGCGAAAGCCUGAUGCAGCAACGCCGCGUGAGGGACGAAGGCCUCUGGGCUGUAAACCUCUUUUCUCAAGGAAGAAGAUAUGACGGUACUUGAGGAAUAAGCCACGGCUAAUUCCGUGCCAGCAGCCGCGGUAAUACGGGAGUGGCAAGCGUUAUCCGGAAUUAUUGGGCGUAAAGCGUCCGCAGGCGGCCUUUCAAGUCUGCUG
rnacentral:ncRNA from 1 species